ensembl:lncRNA
GAGCACCCAAUGACAGAGGAGAGGGAGGGCAGAGCACCCAAUGAAAGAGGAGAGGGAGGGCAGAGCACCCAAUGACAGAGGAGAGGGAGGUCAGAGCACCCAAUGAAAGAGGAGAGGGAGGGCAGAGAACCCAAUGACAGAGGAGAGGGAGGACAGAGCACCCAAUGAAAGAGGAGAGGGAGGUCAGAGCACCCAAUGACAGAGGAGAGAGAGGGCAGAGCACCCAAUGAAAGAGGAGAGGGAGGGCAGAGCACCCAAUGAAAGAGGAGAGGGAGGUCAGAGCACCCAAUGACAGAGGAGAGGGAGGGCAGAGCACCCAAUGAAAGAGGAGAGGGAGGUCAGAGCACCCAAUGAAAGAGGAGAGGGAGGUCAGAG